rnacentral:rRNA from 1 species
CAGCCGCCACGGUAAAACGAAGGGGGCUAGCGUUGUUCGGAUUUACUGGGCGUAAAGGGUGCGUAGGCGGACUGAUAAGUCAGGGGUGAAAUCCCAAGGCUCAACCUUGGAACUGCCUUUGAUACUGUUAGUCUUGAGUUCGAGAGAGGUGAGUGGAACUGCGAGUGUAGAGGUGAAAUUCGUAGAUAUUCGCAAGAACACCAGUGGCGAAGGCGGCUCACUGGCUCGAAACUGACGCUGAGGCACGAAAGCGUGGGGAGCAAACAGGAUUAGAUACCCCAGUAGUCCCUGUCUCUUAUAC